rnacentral:rRNA from 1 species
UACGGAAGGGGCAAGCGUUGUUCGGAAUCAUUGGGCGUAAAGGGCGCGUAGGUGGUUUUGUAUGUCUACCGUGAAAGCGUACGGCUCAACCGUAUUUAGUCGGUAGAAACUGCAAGACUUGAGGCUGGGAGGGGCUGGUGGAAUUCCCUGUGUAGCGGUGAAAUGCGUAGAGAUGGGGGAGAACACUCGUGGCGAAGGCGGCCAGCUAGACCAGCUCUGACACUGAGGCGCGACAGCGUGGGGAGCAAACAGG